ACGCUGGCGGCAGCCCUUACACAUGCAAGUCGAGCGAGAAAGUUUCUUCGGAAACGAGUAAAGCGGCGGACGGGUGAGUAACGCGUAGGAAUCUACCAUUCAGUGGGGGAUAGCUCGGGGAAACCCGAAUUAAUACCGCAUAUACCCUAAGGGGGAAAGAGGGCCUAUCCUUGGAAGCUCUUGCUGUUUGAUGAGCCUGCGUGAGAUUAGUUUGUUGGUGAGGUAAUGGCUCACCAAGGCUACGAUCUCUAGCUGGUCUGAGAGGACGAUCAGCCACACUGGGACUGAGACACGGCCCAGACUCCUACGGGAGGCAGCAGUGGGGAAUAUUGGACAAUGGGGGCAACCCUGAUCCAGGCAUGCCGCGUGUGUGAAGAAGGCCUUCGGGUUGUAAAGCACUUUAGGUAAGGAAGAAAAGUCAUUGGUUAAUACCCAAUGACCAUGACAUUACUUACAGAAUAAGGACCGGCUAACUCCGUGCCAGCAGCCGCGGUAAUACGGAGGGUCCAAGCGUUAAUCGGAAUUACUGGGCGUAAAGCGCGCGUAGGCGGUUUGACAAGUUGGGUGUGAAAUCCCCGGGCUUAACCUGGGAACUGCAUUCAAAACUUUUAAACUGGAGUACGGGAGAGGAGAGUAGAAUUCAUGGUGUAGCGGUGAAAUGCGUAGAUAUCAUGAGGAAUACCAAUGGCGAAGGCAACUCUCUGGACCGUAACUGACGCUGAGGUGCGAAAGCGUGGGUAGCAAACAGGAUUAGAUACCCUGGUAGUCCACGCCGUAAACGAUGACAACUAGCCGUUGGACUUUCGGGUUCAGUGGCACAGCUAACGCAUUAAGUUGUCCGCCUGGGGAGUACGGCCGC
rnacentral:rRNA from 1 species